UAAAAAAUAAAAAAACUUUAGAUAUGAAAGUUGAAAUUUCACAUUACUUAAAGAUGGUAAAUUGAAAAUUACCCUUUUCAUAGGAUUCCUUUUAAAAAAUCACCUUAAUUGGACUUGCUUUUUUGCUUUUUCUUUUGUUUUUGUGUUUUUUUUUUUUGGUUUUUUAAUAACAAUAAACAAUAAAGUAAGUAGACUUGCUUUGGCAAUAAAGGAAAGGGGAAAUAGCUUUAUCAUUUUCAUAGGAUUCCUUUAAAUAAAAUUACCUCUACUGGACUCGCUUUUUUUUUUUUUUUUUCACAAGAAACGAUAGGUUAAGUAGACUUGCCUUGGCAAUAAAGAAAAGGGGAAAUAGCUUUCCUUUUGUUUGGAAGUGGCUUUAUGUCAAACUCGUUAGUUAAUCAAUAUAUUGCAACUCAUUAACAUUGCAAGUGGAAAAUUGCUAGCAGCUCCUUAGUUCCCUAUAUAAGCAGCAGAGGCAGCUACUCGGAACACAAGUUCAAAGAAAACAAAGCCAUCUCACUUUUUUUAAUUCAUCAAUCUCAACUAAGAACAAUCCGAUCACCACAAAGGUUGCAAAAUGGAAUCGAGACAAAGUUCGGAGAGCUCAAGGCAGGGAAAUAAGAAGAAGUCUUUGUACAACUUAGGUGCAAUUGCUGCUGGCGCUGCUGCAGGAAUUGGUCUACUGGCUUGGGGUUUAUCUGCACUUGCUUCAUCAGCUGGUGAGGAAAAUAAGAAAAUGAUGAAAGCUCCUGGAAAAGAGGAAAUCAUAGAGAGGGAAGAGUUUGAGCGUGAUCCUAAAGGCUAUUUCAGAGACUUGCGCAAUAACUAGGAACUUCUCUUGAACCGUUGAACAUAUGAGAUUAUGCCUUUACAUUUUUUUAAUCUAUCUUUUGUUAUUAAACUAUCCUAGUGGGAACUUGCAUCUUGUUGUCUUGUAGAUGGGGAUUACUGUUGUUUCAUAUGGUGAUUAGGGAUUUUGCUUUCUAUUUUAGUUUCUGAUGUUUAUCAUCGGUUUAAUGGUAGUGAAGUUCAAAACGUGCUGAA